rnacentral:rRNA from 1 species
UGAGUAACCUGCCCUUCACUCUGGGAUAACUCCGGGGAAACCGGGGCUAAUACUGGAUAUGACUCGAACAGGCAUCUGUUUCGGGUGGAAAGAUUUAUUGGUGGAGGAUGGACUCGCGGCCUAUCAGCUUGUUGGUGAGGUAAUGGCUCACCAAGGCGACGACGGGUAGCUGGUCUGAGAGGAUGGCCAGCCACAGUUGGGACUGAGACACGGCCCAGACCUCCGUACGGGAGCA